UCAGCGAUAUCACUGCAGUUCUCACCUGGUUUCCUCCUGAAGUUAAGCAGGGUUGAGCCUGGACAGUACCUGGAUGGGAGACUUCCUGGGGAAAACUAUGGUUGCAGUUUGAA
rnacentral:rRNA from 1 species